rnacentral:rRNA from 1 species
GUGGGGAAUUUUGCGCAAUGGGCGAAAGCCUGACGCAGCAACGCCGCGUGAGUGAUGAAGGCUUUCGGGUCGUAAAGCUCUGUCAGGGGGAAAGAAGUGUAAUGUGGCUAAUAUCCAUGUUACUUGACGGUACCCCCAAAGGAAGCACCGGCUAACUCCGUGCCAGCAGCCGCGGUAAUACGGAGGGUGCGAGCGUUGUUCGGAUUUAUUGGGCGUAAAGCGCGUGUAGGCGGUUUGUUAAGUCUGAUGUGAAAGCCCCGGGCUCAACCUGGGAAGUGCAUUGGAUACUGGCAGACUUGAAUACGGGAGAGGGUAGUGGAAUUCCUGGUGUAGGAGUGAAAUCCGUAGAUAUCAGGAGGAACACCGGUGGCGAAGGCGGCUGCCUGGACCGAUAUUGACGCUGAGACGCGAAAGCGUGGGUAGCAAACAGGAUUAGAAACCCGAGUAGUCC